rnacentral:lncRNA from 1 species
UUCUCCCUUCUGCCUCUCUUUAGGAAAGCUGCUAAAUUUGCUGGUGAUAUGCACAUUUUAAUGAAUCUUAUAUAUGCUUCAUAAAUCUUGUUGACUAAUUAGUAAACCCAUUUUAUCAUGCAAGAAGUAUUCACUGAGCACUAGAACUUGGAUUCCACUGGGCUGGUGCUGUCGUGUCUUCUCUCAUUAAAUCCAAUGUGGACUUAGUUCAGGUUCACUCAUCCCAUACAGGGAGCUCUGGGGCUCCACCUGUUUCACUCUGUAGCACUGGUUCCUUUCACCUCAUAUCUGCUUUAACUACUGGACUUGGGUUUACUGAGUUCCUGAUCUCUGACUUCAUCUCCUAUUUUUGGCUCUGAAUUUGACCCUUGAACUUGCUGCUGUGUGUGAAAACCUGACUCCAGUCCUCCCAGCCUCUAGGACCCUGCCCAGACCUGGCCUGCCUUCUUCCUCACCGCCACUGGAAAAAAACAGACAUCAAAAGCCUUAACAAAAUACUGUCUGAUAUAGCAAAAUGGAACAUGUUUCCUACUAGAAGUAUAUGACCCGAAAGGGGAAAAAUCUGACUCAUUUUAAAAACAAUUGUUAGGGGUGUGUGUG